GCCCCAAAGGUGAGAUCAGAAAGAUGUGCGGGCUCGUCAAUUAACCCUACACCGGUUCAUGGUCUCUUGAUGGCA
rnacentral:pre_miRNA from 1 species